GAUGAACGCUGGCGGCGUGCCUAAUACAUGCAAGUCGAGCGAACAGAUGAGAAGCUUGCUUCUCUGAUGUUAGCGGCGGACGGGUGAGUAACUCGUGGGUAACCUACCUAUAAGACUGGGAUAACUCCGGGAAACCGGGGCUAAUACCGGAUAAUAUUUUGAACCGCAUGGUUCAAUAGUGAAAGACGGUUUCGGCUGUCACUUAUAGAUGGACCCGCGCCGUAUUAGCUAGUUGGUAAGGUAACGGCUUACCAAGGCGACGAUACGUAGCCGACCUGAGAGGGUGGUCGGCCACACUGGAACUGAGACACGGUCCAGACUCCGACGGGAGGCAGCAGUAGGGAAUCUUCCGCAAUGGGCGAAAGCCUGACGGAGCAACGCCGCGUGAGUGAUGAAGGUCUUCGGAUCGUAAAACUCUGUUGUUAGGGAAGAACAAAUUUGUUAGUAACUGAACAAGUCUUGACGGUACCUAACCAGAAAGCCACGGCUAACUACGUGCCAGCAGCCGCCGUAA
rnacentral:rRNA from 1 species